rnacentral:rRNA from 1 species
AUUGAACGCUGGCGGCAUGCCUCACACAUGCAAGUCGAACGGUAACAGGUCUUCGGAUGCUGACGAGUGGCGAACGGGUGAGUAAUACAUCGGAACGUGCCCGAGAGUGGGGGAUAACGAAGCGAAAGCUUUGCUAAUACCGCAUACGAUCUCAGGAUGAAAGCAGGGGACCGCAAGGCCUUGCGCUCACGGAGCGGCCGAUGGCAGAUUAGGUAGUUGGUGGGAUAAAAGCUUACCAAGCCGACGAUCUGUAGCUGGUCUGAGAGGACGACCAGCCACACUGGGACUGAGACACGGCCCAGACUCCUACGGGAGGCAGCAGUGGGGAAUUUUGGACAAUGGGCGCAAGCCUGAUCCAGCCAUGCCGCGUGCAGGAUGAAGGCCUUCGGGUUGUAAACUGCUUUUGUACAGAACGAAAAGACUCUGGUUAAUACCUGGGGUCCAUGACGGUACCGUAAGAAUAAGCACCGGCUAACUACGUGCCAGCAGCCGCCGUAAGAC